GGGUGGUAAUGCCGGAUGCUCCAGUUGGAUGCAUGUCCUUCUGGGAAAGAUUCAUCGGUAUGGGAUGGGGUCGCGUCCUAUCAGCUUGAUGGCGGGGUAACGGCCCACCAUGGCUUCGACGGGUAGCCGGCCUGAGAGGGCGACCGGCCACAUUGGGACUGAGAUACGGCCCAGACUCCUACGGGAGGCAGCAGUGGGGAAUAUUGCACAAUGGGCGCAAGCCUGAUGCAGCGACGCCGCGUGCGGGAUGACGGCCUUCGGGUUGUAAACCGCUUUUGACUGGGAGCAAGCCCUUCGGGGUGAGUGUACCUUUCGAAUAAGCACCGGCUAACUACGUGCCAGCAGCCGCGGUAAUACGUAGGGUGCAAGCGUUAUCCGGAAUUAUUGGGCGUAAAGGGCUCGUAGGCGGUUCGUCGCGUCCGGUGUGAAAGUCCAUCGCUUAACGGUGGAUCCGCGCCGGGUACGGGCGGGCUUGAGUGCGGUAGGGGAGACUGGAAUUCCCGGUGUAACGGUGGAAUGUGUAGAUAUCGGGAAAAGAACACC
rnacentral:rRNA from 1 species